AUUGAACGCUGGCGGCAGGCCUAACACAUGCAAGUCGAGCGGAUGAGGGUAGCUUGCUAUCUGAUUCAGCGGCGGACGGGUGAGUAAUGUCUGGGAAACUGCCUGAUGGAGGGGGAUAACUACUGGAAACGGUAGCUAAUACCGCAUAACGCCGCAAGACCAAAGAGGGGGACCUUCGGGCCUCUUGCCAUCGGAUGGGCCCAGAUGGGAUUAGCUAGUAGGUGGGGUAACGGCUCACCUAGGCGACGAUCCCUAGCUGGUCUGAGAGGAUGACCAGCCACACUGGAACUGAGACACGGUCCAGACUCCUACGGGAGGCAGCAGUGGGGAAUAUUGCACAAUGGGCGCAAGCCUGAUGCAGCCAUGCCGCGUGUAUGAAGAAGGCCUUCGGGUUGUAAAGUACUUCCAGCGGGGAGGAAGGGAGUAAAGUUAAUACCUUUGCUCAUUGACGUUACCCGCAGAAGAAGCACCGGCUAACUCCGUGCCAGCCGCCGCGGUAA
rnacentral:rRNA from 1 species